rnacentral:rRNA from 1 species
AUACGAAGGGUGCAAGCGUUGCUCGGAAUUAUUGGGCGUAAAGGGUAGGUAGGUGGUUACGUAUGUCUGAGGUGAAAUCCCCGAGCUUAACUUGGGAAGUGCCUUGGAAACGGCGUAACUAGAGUACUAGAGAGGUUCGUGGAAUUCCCAGUGUAGCGGUGAAAUGCGUAGAGAUUGGGAGGAACACCAGAGGCGAAAGCGACGAACUGGAUAGGUACUGACACUCAACUACGAAAGCGUGGGUAGCAAACAGGAUUAGAUACCCUGGUAGUCCACGCUGUAAACGAUGGGUACUAGGAUUUGUGGGAGUUGACCCCUGCAGAUCCGGAGCUAACGCAAUAAGUACCCCGCCUGGGAAGUACGGUCGCAAGACUAAA